UGGGGAAUAUUGCACAAUGGGCGCAAGCCUGAUGCAGCCAUGCCGCGUGUGUGAAGAAGGCCUUCGGGUUGUAAAGCACUUUCAGCGGGGAGGAAGGCGAUAAGGUUAAUAACCUUGUCGAUUGACGUUACCCGCAGAAGAAGCACCGGCUAACUCCGUGCCAGCAGCCGCGGUAAUACGGAGGGUGCAAGCGUUAAUCGGAAUUACUGGGCGUAAAGCGCACGCAGGCGGUCUGUCAAGUCGGAUGUGAAAUCCCCGGGCUCAACCUGGGAACUGCAUUCGAAACUGGCAGGCUAGAGUCUUGUAGAGGGGGGUAGAAUUCCAGGUGUAGCGGUGAAAUGCGUAGAGAUCUGGAGGAAUACCGGGGGCGAAGGCGGCCCCCUGGACAAAGACUGACGCUCAGGUGGGAAAGCGUGGGGAGCAAACAGG
rnacentral:rRNA from 1 species